UUGUGGAAAAUAAAUCAAUAUCAGAUUCUCCACAUGGUUUAUAUAUGAUAUAUAUUAUAUUAAUAACUUUUAGAUGUUAUGUGAUAUAUAUUAUAUUAAUAACUUUUUUUCAGGAAUUCAAAAUGAAGCCUAAACUGAGCAUAUACAACACCAGCCACCUAGAUAGCAGAAAUAAGAGACACUAUGAUGGAACAUCUAGUAGAAAAUAAAUCAAUAUCAGAUUCUCCACAUGGAAUUCAAAAUGAAGCCUAAACUGAGCAUAUACAACACCAGCCACCUAGAUAGCAGAAAUAAGAGACACUAUGAUGGAACAUCUUGUAGAAAAUAAAUCAAUAUCAGAUUCUCCACAUGGUUUUAUUCGGAAUAAAAACUAGUGUGUUUCAAAAAAUGUCUACAAUCAAAAGGGGAAAACAAUUGCAUUGAAAUGUUUACCAAGUUUUACAACUUUACUUUUACAACUGCGACUGUCAAAGAACUAAAUUCUUUGACAAUCAUUUUUUUGACAAUUUUUUUUAGAGUUGUUGUUGAAAAAAACAUCUUUUAUAAUGAUUUAAAAACAAUUGAAAGUUUUGAAAUGCAAUUUGUUCAUGAUUUUUAUCAGUCAAGAAACUAAUUUGCUAUGU